rnacentral:lncRNA from 1 species
GCAGUAGCAACUGGAUUUGCAGCAGAAACACUCUGCUACAGAACAAGUGUCUUGGUUCACAGCAAAGAGGACAAAGAAAACAGCAAGUUUUAGGGGGUUGAAUCCUGGAUUAUGCCACUGUUGCUGGAGAAAUGUCACUGCUAGAGAAUGGAAGACUAUUAUUCCAAAGGGUAUUUGAGACUGACUGAAUCAGGUCUGGAACAUUAUUGAAAUGGGAUUUUCUUAUUGCUGCUGUUCUUGAAUACCUUAUUGUUCAGUGCUCCUCUGUGAUGCUGUUAAAGCAGAUUCCUGGGCACCAUUCCUAAAGACUCCGAUUGGACUGAAUGCAAGAGCCAUUCUCACUGGGAUGCCACAGCUCUGGAGACUUCUCAUAGAUGGUGUUUGGAACACUCCAGGCUUGCAGAUGGGCCUUUAG